rnacentral:rRNA from 1 species
GGGUGAGUAGCGGGUAGCAUCCUCCUUUUUCUACGGGAUAACGCAUGGGAACGUGUGCUAAUACCGUAUACGCCCUAUUGGGGGAAAGAUUUUAUUGGAGAGAGAUGAGCCUGCGUUGGAUUAGCUAGUUGGUAGGGUAAGAGCCUACCAAGGCUACGAUCUAUAGCUGGUCUGAGAGGACGAUCAGCCACACUGGGACUGAGACACGGCCCAGACUCCUACGGGAGGCAGCAGUGGGGAAUAUUGGACAAUGGGGGCAACCCUGAUCCAGCCAUGCCGCGUGAGUGAAGAAGGCCUUAGGGUUGUAAAGCUCUUUCGCCGGAGAAGAUAAUGACGGUAUUCGGAGAAGAAGCCCCGGCUAACUUCGUGCCAGCAGCCGCGGUAAUACGAAGGGGGCGAGCGUUGUUCGGAAUAACUGGGCGUAAAGGGCGCGUAGGCGGGCGAUUAAGUUAGAGGUGAAAUCCCAGGGCUCAACCUUGGAACUGCCUUUAAUACUGGUUGUCUAGAGUUUAGGAGAGGUGAGUGGAAUUCCGAGUGUAGAGGUGAAAUUCGUAGAUAUUCGGAGGAACACCGGUGGCGAAGGCGGCUCACUGGCCUGAUACUGACGCUGAGGCGCGAAAGCGUGGGGAGCAUACAGGAUUAGAUACCCUGGUAGUCCACGCCGUAUACGAUGAGUGCUACCUGUUGUGUGGGUUACCAUUCUGUGGAGCAGCUCACGCAUUAUUCACUCCGCCUGGGGAGUAGGGUCGCAGUAUUACGACUCUUCGGAGUUGAUGACGGGCCUCACAUUCGGUGGAGAAUGAGGUUUAUUUCUAUGCAGCGCGCAUAACCAUACCAGCCC